rnacentral:tRNA from 1 species
GCCUGGGUGGCUCAGUUGGUUGAGCAUCCGACUUCUACUCAGGUCAUGAUCUCACAGCUUGUGGGAUCCAGCCCCACAUCGGGCU